rnacentral:rRNA from 1 species
AGAAUCUUUCGCAAUGCCCGAAAGGGUGACGAAGCGACGCCGCGUGCGGGAAGAAGGCCUUCGGGUUGUAAACCACUGUCGGGAGUUAAGAAGUGUAAGGGUGUUAAGAGCAUCCUUACUUGACGUUAGCUCCGGAGGAAGCCACGGCUAACUCUGUGCCAGCAGCCGCGGUAAUACAGAGGUGGCAAGCGUUGUUCGGAAUUAUUGGGCGUAAAGAGCACGUAGGCGGCCCUGCAAGUCAGCUGUGAAAUCCUUCUGCUCAACGGAAGAACGGCAGUUGAUACUACAGGGCUAGAGUGCGGGAGGGGAGAGUGGAACUUCUGGUGGAGCGGUGAAAUGCGUAGAUAUCAGAAGGAACAUCGGCGGCGAAAGCGACUCUCUGGUCCGUAACUGACGCUGAGGUGCGAAAGCUAGGGGAGCAAACGGGAUUAGAUACCCCGGUAGUCCUAGCCGUAAACGAUGGGCACUCGGUAGAGGGGUUUUGAUUAUCUCUCUGCCUGAGCUAACGCGUUAAGUGCCCCGCCUGGGGAGUACGGCCGCAAGGCUAAAACUCAAAAGAAUUGACGGAGGCUCGCACAAGCGGUGGAGCAUGUGGCUUAAUUCGAUGCAACACGAAGAACCUUACCGGGGCUUGACAUGGUAGAAGUAGGAGCCCGAAAGGGUAACGAACGGUAUCCAGUCCGUCACUAUCACAGGUGUUGCAUGGCUG